CCCAAUCCGUUGAUGAGGAAACCUUUUUAGAAAAUCAAGCCCCAUUCUCUGCGGCUGGGGCAUCCACGAUUUGACAGCUGCAGGGGCUUCUCGUCUCCCUAUUCAACAUUGUAAUUUUAGAUAAUAUCCCAAGUGUUCACUCUCCUGAGCAAUUUGUACAUGAAUAACCGAAUAAUUUCAUCUUUUGUUUCGUCUUUGCCACUUCAAAUCCAAAUAAAGAUGCCUUUUAGUAUUAAAAGUGGUAGAAAAUUACAGGUAAUUAUCUUUGACGGUAAAAACGCUGUAAUCAGCGGGCUACAUCAAAAAUUACCCUAAUUAUGUCUGCAUUUAUGAGAAUGGAAAAAAACCCUCUCUUGGAUAAAACCCAUAAAUUGUCCCAAAUAUCUCCUUCAUAUUGAACGAGACUGCAGCUGGAUGCUUUGUUCAGGAUCGAUCCUGUGGCGAAAGGCAUUCAGCGUCUCGCAGAUCAAGGCAGAGAGAAAGGGGGAAAACAUUUUGUCAAUACCUUAAUAAUUGAGCUAGAGAAUGACAAGAUGGACAAGAUGCAGCUCUAUUCUGUAGGAAAAACACUUUGAGAAACCACCAUCUCGGGAAAUUCAGCGCCGACUACCCAGGAGUUCCUGCCGUCUACAUGCAUCAGAAGUUGUUUUGUUAAUCGAAAUAAAGGGCGGAUUGCAUGAUCCAAGGCACGGAGCGGCUCGCCAUUUUCUCGCAUUACAUGACGGCCUUACCAGCGAGGAGGAAUAUGCAUGAAUACAUUAAAAGGUAAUGAGGAAGCUGUCAGGAGAGGGUCGUUCAGGGCAGAGCUUGGCGUUGGAGAGCUUUCAGAGCAUUACGUGAUGGACUUGUCAUCUCGGCACGAGAAGCAAAGAGGGGUGGAGUUCAACGGCGUGGACAACAGCAUCUCACUGCUCAAUGUUUUGUAUUUUCACUGCUAAAUUAAACAAUAUGAUAUAUGAA